rnacentral:rRNA from 1 species
GACGAACGCUGGCGGCGUGCUUAACACAUGCAAGUCGAACGGAAAGGCCCUGCUUGCGGGGUACUCGAGUGGCGAACGGGUGAGUAACACGUGGGUGGUGUGCCCUGCACUGCGGGGUAGGCCUGGUAAACUGGGGCUUAUACCGGCCAGGUGCCAUCUUUAGAGAGAUGGUUGAAGAGUUUGUUGUGUGUAGGCUUGGCUCACGGCCUAUCAGCCUGUUAGUGGGGUAAUGGCCUACCAAGGCGGCGACGGGUAGCCUGCCUGGGAGGGUGGACGGCCACAUUGGGACUGAGAGACGGAGCAGAAGCCUACGGGAGGCAGUGGUGGGGAAUAUUGCACAAUGGGGCCGAGUCUGAGGCAGAGACUCCGCGUGGGGGAUGACCGGCUUGGGGUUGUAAACGUUGUUCGGUAGGGAAGAAGCUUUUAGUGACGGUACCUAGAGAAGAAGCACCGGCUAACUACGUG